ensembl:miRNA
CUGCCACCUCGUGGCCAUAUUGAGAACUGCUCCAAAGGGAGCUGGGGCUGGGCGUGCAGAGGUGUCAUUUUGCCACCGCUCUUUGGAGCCUGCUCGGGUAGUUCCCUGAGGUCUGCAACUUCAUC